rnacentral:rRNA from 1 species
GACGUUAGCGACAGAAGAAGCACCGGCUAACUCCGUGCCAGCAGCCGCGGUAAUACGGAGGUGCGAGCGUAAUCGGAAUUACUGGGCGUAAAGCGCAUGCAGGUGGUUUGUUAAGUCAGAUGUGAAAGACCCGGGGCGUUAACCUACGGAAUAGCAUUUGAAACUAGGCAGACUAGAGUACUGUAGAGGGGGGUAGGAAUUUCAGGUGUAGCGGUGAAAUGCGUAGAGAUCUGAAGGAAUACCGGUGGCGAAGGCGGCCCCCUCGGACAGAUACUGACACUCAGAUGCGAAAGCGUGGGGAGCAAACAGGAUUAGAUACCCUGGUAG